rnacentral:rRNA from 1 species
AUACGGAGGGUGCAAGCGUUACUCGGAAUCACUGGGCGUAAAGGACGCGUAGGCGGAUUGGAAAGUCAGAUGUGAAAUCCUACAGCUUAACUGUAGAACUGCAUUUGAAACUUCUAAUCUCGAGUAUGGGAGGGGGAGAUGGAAUUAGUGGUGUAGGGGUAAAAUCCGUAGAUAUCACUAGGAAUACCGAAAGCGAAGGCGAUCUCCUGGAACAUAACUGACGCUAAGGCGUGAAAGCGUGGGGAGCAAACGGGAUUAGAUACCCUAGUAGUCC